CCUACGGGAGGCAGCAGUGUGGAAUUUUUCGCAAUGGGGGCAACCCUGACGAAGCAAUGCCGCGUGGAUGAAGAAGGCCUUCGGGUUGUAAAGUCCUUUCGUGGGGGACGAAAAGGCGGAUCCGAAUACGGUCUGCUAUUGACGUGAACCCAAGAAGAAGCACCGGCUAACUCCGUGCCAGCAGCCGCGGUAAUACGGAGGGUGCGAGCGUUAAUCGGAAUUACUGGGCGUAAAGGGCGCGUAGGCGGUGGGUUACGUCUGCCGUGAAAUCCCCGGGCUCAACCUGGGAAUGGCGGUGGAAACGGGCUGACUGGAGUAUGGGAGAGGGUGAUGGAAUUCCAGGUGUAGCGGUGAAAUGCGUAGAGAUCUGGAGGAACACCAGUGGCGAAGGCGGUCACCUGGCCCAAUACUGACGCUGAGGCGCGAAAGCGUGGGGAGCAAACAGGAUUAGAUACCCUGGUAGUCCACGCCCUAAACGAUGGAUACUGGAUGUUGGCGCCUUUAGGUGCUGAGUGUCGUAACUAACGCGAUAAGUAUCCCGCCUGGGAAGUUACGGCCGCAAGGUUAAAACUCAAAGGAAUUGACGGGG
rnacentral:rRNA from 1 species